rnacentral:rRNA from 1 species
AUGAUGUGUGCAAGGCAUAUUUAUGCCAAUUGGAGAAAGAAGCACAGGGACCAUGAAUUACAAAAAAGAUUUUGGGCAAUUGCCAAGGCUUCAAACAAACAGGAUCUCAACUACAACAAGGCCAGACUUGCUCAGAAAACCCCUGAUGGUGCAAAAGACAUUAUGAGGAUAGAGCCAGUGCAUUGGGCUAGGGCCUUUUUUCCAUAUGGAUCAAACUGUGAGUCAGUGGAUAACAACCUAUGUGAGUCUUUCAACAAUGCCAUCAUAGAAUCUAGAUUUUACCCCAUAAUAUCACAGCAAGAGAUGAUAAGGAAGAAGAUGUAUGUCAGAAUCCAGGAACAGAGAAGCAAAUGUGAUAAAUGGCAUGCAACAGUUUGCCCUAACAUUUUUAAGAAACUACAGGGCAAUAUCAAGAGAACUCAGUUCUGUGAGGUGCUUUGGAAUGGCAAGGAUGGAUUUGAGGUCAAGCAUUUGACUGGCAGAGGAAGGAGAUAUACAGUGAACCUUGAGAGGAAGACAUGCUCAUGUGGAUAUCUACAGCUGGCAGGCCUUCCUUGUUGUCAUGCAAUUUGUGCUAUAUACAAAAGUGGCAGAAAAGUAGAAGAAUUCAUUGACCCAUGCUACUACAUUGAGACUUUCAAGAAAAUAUAUGAGCAUUGUCUCCAGCCUGUGGAAGGUGAAGAAUGUUGGCCAGUCUCUCAGAACCCUAGGCCAGUGGCACCUGGCUAUAUUGCCAUGCCAGGAGCAAGGAAGAAAAACAAUGAUAGGAGGAGAGAAGAGGGGGAAGCACCCAAAGGAAAGAAACUUAGCAAGUAUGGAAUUCAAAUCACUUGUGGAUCAUGUGGGGUGCUUGCUAUUUUUCCUAUUUGCAGCAAGCAGAGACUGAGGCUGCCAAAAGCAGGGCAGCUGCAGCAAGAUCUUCUCAACCUACAACAAGGACUCAAACUCCUCAAUCCUAUCAACCUGCAGCAACUACAAGCUCACAGCCAGCCACCUCAAGCUUCAGACCUCCCAGAAGAUCAGCACCAACUGGAAAUGAGUUACCUGGAGGAAGUACAUCUGCUGGCAGAGGAAGAGGAAGAGGAUUCAUGCCCUAUUUCACAGCUUCUGGGAACUACUGAAGCUAUGUACUACUGA